rnacentral:lncRNA from 1 species
AAGACCUGCCCCAGGGGCACCACUCAUUGUUAUGAUGGGUACAUUAGUCUCUCAGGAGGUGGGGUAACCACCACAAUGGGCAUUCAGGGCUGUGUGGCCCAACCUUCCAGCUCCUUGUUGAACCACACCAGACAAAUCGGGAUCUUCUCUGUGCGUGAGAAGGGUGAAGAGGAGCCUCCUGCCCCUCAUUCUGAGAGAGCGACCCUGGGGAGAGCCUGGAGCAGCUGGACUUGUCCUAUGGGAGAGGGGACGUUGGAGGAGUGGCUGCAUGUAUCUGAAUAAUAAAGACCUUGUCCUUUCUUCCAGUGCUGAGGUUUCUCCAUGUGAGGGGACAGCAGGACACCCAGGGAUCUAGUGUGGGGGAGGAGAGGAACCUAAUGAAAAAAUGAUCAUCCAAGCCUGC